AAGAAGAAAUACAUAUAUAUAUAUAUACGAUUAGUUAAAAUGCAUAUAUAUUAAUUUAACUGUAGGAAAUCUAAAGCAAAUUAAUGAAGGCUGAAGAUGAUAUCUUUGUGAAAUUAUCGAGCUCACUAUUUUCUUUUUUUAAGUCAUCCUUACUCCCACCCUGCCCACCUAUUAUGAUUAUACUAUUUAGUGAACUCACCUUAUGAUCUAUCAAUGCAUUAGAAGAUUUAUGGGAAUUUAAAUAGAGAUACAUCAAGGAAUGUGUGUUGUUCUCCGGGUGUUUUGGUUGACGACUUGUUUUAAAUUAGUCCUAAUUUUGUAUUCGUACACAAACAACUGAUUCCGUGAUUUGAGCAUUCACUUACUAUGUUGGAAUGAAGGUAUGUGCAUGUCAAGUAACGAAAGAAAAACGGAUUCUUCCUCUCACUACCAUUAUUUAUUAUGUACGUAUUUGUUAGAAUCCAUUCAUCCCUUUGACUCAAGAAUUAUGUGUAUAUUACGAGACGGUAUGUGACUUCACGUUUCUAUGUAUAUCCGAGUUACAAACUUUAUGCGACCCCUAUUCUUGAAAAGGUGAUGAGCAUUUAUUCAAUAAAUAUUAAUUUUAAAGUGUGUUGAUUAUAUACUUGAUUAUUGUAUUAAUAGUAAGUUACUAAAUAAAUUUUACAGAUUAUUUAGUGCUGUGGGAUUCCUUAAUUUCCUUCGAUGCUUUUAAUACAAAUCAAUGUUAUAUUUAAUUAAUAUUAACCCUUAUUUUCUUCGAAUUACCAUAUGGCAACACAUAUAUAUGUUUGUCUAUAUAAAUCAACCAGAAAUGAUUAGUUGGAUAAAUAUGAUAUGUUCCUUCCUCUGAUUAUAGUUCUACACGUGUUUAUCUAAUUAGGAUUUUUAGUUGAAUGCUGCAGUUACACAAUAGAGGUUAUAGUAACAUUAUUGUUCCUUUGGAUCAAAUUUCUGGAUGAGGAUAUUCACGACUUUUCCCCCCAAUAACAAUGUAGUCAUAGUUGCUUCAAAAAUGUAUGAUGUUAAACUACAAAACGUUGGGUUCGCUCUGAAUUGUGCCUUUUUAGGUGGUUCUGGAUGUGAGUGUUCAAAAUGAAUGCUGCAGUUAUACAAUAGAGGUAAAUUAAUUUAAUGAAAAUUGAAUAAGGAGAAGACGCAUUGAAAAUGUUCAUUAGAAAGAUUGUCAUGUCCUGCAUCAAACAACAUGAGAUCAAACCUAAAACACAGGGAGGAAGCCCUUCACUGGUAUUUUCAACUCAAAGUCGAUACAAUAGAAUGGAUCAAUAAAUUGUAUAAUAUAUCUAUAUUUUAUUUUGUUUACCCAAAAGAAAAUAUAUUUUUUAUUCUUCGAAUAAAUGUUAAGGUAUUUUAA
rnacentral:lncRNA from 1 species